UGGGGAAUAUUGGACAAUGGGCGCAAGCCUGAUCCAGCAAUGCCGCGUGUGUGAAGAAGGCCUUCGGGUUGUAAAGCACUUUUAUCAGGAGCGAAACGCUGUCGGCUAAUACCCGGCGGAACUGACGGUACCUGAGGAAUAAGCACCGGCUAACUUCGUGCCAGCAGCCGCGGUAAUACGAAGGGUGCAAGCGUUAAUCGGAAUUACUGGGCGUAAAGCGUGCGUAGGCGGUUUCUUAAGUCUGCUGUGAAAUCCCCGGGCUCAACCUGGGAAUGGCAGUGGAUACUGGGAGGCUAGAGUGUGUCAGAGGGUGGUGGAAUUCCCGGUGUAGCGGUGAAAUGCGUAGAGAUCGGGAGGAACAUCAGUGGCGAAGGCGGCCACCUGGGACAACACUGGACGCUGAGGCACGAAAGCGUGGGGGAGCAAACAGGAUUAGAUACCCUGGUAGUCCACGCCCUAAACGAUGCGAACUGGAUGUUGGUCUCAACUCGGAGAUCAGUGUCGAAGCUAACGCGUUAAGUUCGCCGCCUGGGGAGUACGGUCGCAAGACUGAAACUCAAAGGAAUUGACGGGGUCAUAGCUGUUUCCUG
rnacentral:rRNA from 1 species